rnacentral:rRNA from 1 species
UACAGAGGGUGCGAGCGUUGUUCGGAAUUACUGGGCGUAAAGCGUGCGUAGGUGGUUUGUUAAGUCUGAUGUGAAAGCCCUGGGCUCAACCUGGGAAUUGCAUUGGAUACUGGCAGGCUAGAGUGCGGUAGAGGAUGGCGGAAUUCCCGGUGUAGCAGUGAAAUGCGUAGAGAUCGGGAGGAACAUCUGUGGCGAAGGCGGCCAUCUGGACCAGCACUGACACUGAGGCACGAAAGCGUGGGGAGCAAACAGG